rnacentral:rRNA from 1 species
CGCAUACGUCCUACGGGAGAAAGCAGGGGAUCUUCGGACCUUGCGCUAAUAGAUGAGCCUAAGUCGGAUUAGCUAGUUGGUGGGGUAAAGGCCUACCAAGGCGACGAUCUGUAGCGGGUCUGAGAGGAUGAUCCGCCACACUGGGACUGAGACACGGCCCAGACUCCUACGGGAGGCAGCAGUGGGGAAUAUUGGACAAUGGGGGGAACCCUGAUCCAGUCAAGGCGCGUGUGUGAAGAAGGCCUUAUGGUUGUA